CACCAUGUUGUGAUUUUUUCUGAGGACCUCAAGCUGAUGAUUUGCGUUUUGGCUUGGUUUGGCUUGGUUUAGUUUGUUUUUUGUCCUUGAGAUGUCAAAGAUUCUGUUCCAGUUUCUCUUGAAAUCAUAAAGGAACCUCCCAUCUCUAUGUUUCAGAUCUGCUUGAGGCUUUAUUGACAGAAUGAAUAGUUUUGGCAUAACCAGGCAUGGACUUAAACCAGCACUGCCAGAUGCAAUCAAACUUCUCAGCAAGCAUGAUUUUCCCUACCUGAAGACUAAAUCAGUGCUGUGUGAAUCUGUUAUCUUCCAUCUCACUGCUCAAAACCGGAUCUGGGCUGACAGCAGGAACACUGAGACAGCUUGCAAUCACCAUGGAUGUCUCUGGAGCCUUCCAGCUUGUCAAGCUCAGCACACUGCUCUGUGCUUGAAAGCAUAUGGUCAACAAAACAAAGAGCUUGCACCUGGAAUUUGAAUGUGGCACAAACUGAACGGCUUUAAAAAAUCAAGCCUCCUCACCCGACCUGCUGUGCUGGGACACCAGUGGAGUGUGCAAAUCCAUGCUCCCUCAGCAGCCUGCACAGGAAUGGAGGUGAAAGCAGUGGGGAAGUCACAGCUCCAGCUGGCUUUCCACAUCCUUAUAGUCAGAUUCUCUCCCUCUUCAGGACAGGAAAGGCAGCUAGAGAGAGAGUAUUACAUAUCUGGUGUUCAUAAAAUAGUAUGGGUUGGAGGGGAUCUUCAAAGAUCCAGCUGUCCUGCUGUGAAAAGGGACACCUUCCACCAGACUGCAUUGCUCAAAGCCCCCUGCAGCCUGAGCUGAGAAAUUCCAAUGAUGAAACAUCCUUGUACUUGGUCCUGUUGAACUUCAUGAGGUUUGCAUGGGCCACUUCUCAAGCCUGUCAAGGUCCCCCUGGGUGCCAUAGCUUCCCUGCAGUGAGUCAACUGCACCACUCAACAUGGCAUCAUCUUCAACUUGCUGAGGGAGAAUUCAACCCCACUGUCCAUGUGUUAAGUUACCCAUUUUCUUGUUGAAUGCAGUGUUCCAUUCACAUAUGGAUGUAAUCUUUACAUAUGUAUAUAUAUUUAUAUAUAAAUGAGACCCCUCUUCAAAGUGUUGUGCUGGUUUUGGCUGGGAUAGAGUUAAUUUUCUUUACAGUAGCCAGGAUUGAGGCCAUGUUUUGGAUUUGUGCUGGAAACAGAGCUGAUUACACAGGGAUGUUUUCAUUAUUGCCAAGCAGUGCUUGCACAGUGUUAAGGCCUUUUCUGACCCUACCCCACCACUGAUGAGGCUGGGAGUGCACAAAGAGUUAGAAGGGACAUGGCCAGGACAGGAGACCCCAACUACUAAAGGAAUAUUCCAUACCCAACACAUGAUGUCUUGCUAUAUAUAAAGUAGUAGGUAAAGCAGUGGAAAGAAAAAGGCAAGGGAGACUUUUAGAGAAAUAUCUUCCCAAGUCAGUGCUACAUGUGAUGGAGCCCUGAUUUCCUGGGGAUGUCCGAACACCUGCCUGCCCACGGGAAGUGGUGAAUGAAUUACUGCUUUUGCUUUUUCCUUUACCUGUUAAACCGUCUUUAUCUCAACCUGUGAGGUUACUCAUUUUUACUCUUCCAAUUGUUUUCCCAUCCCACUGAGGUGAGGGGGCAAGCAGCUGUGUGGAACUUAGUUGGCGGCUGGGCUUAAGUCACAACAUUUCUUUUUGGUGCCCAACAUGGGGCUCAAAGUGCCCACGCUAAUGACAGAUUUGAUUCAAAUGUGCUGGAUGGAAUUUGUAGCUGUUCUUGCUGUUUGGCUGUUAAUGGGCAGGCUGCUGUGCCUGCCAUGAGGCUCGCCUGCCUGCCUGCCUGUGUAUCGGAGCAAGUGCUCGUUAGUGGCGGCUUUCUGCUUUCACUGCUUGCUGUGCUGCCGUGCUGCUUAUCAUCUUACUCUGCUGUGCUUGGGCACAUUGUGAUAACAGCCUGCGCUGGCUGAUGGCCAGGACAUUGCUGCUGUUUGCUGCCAUACUGGACAGGCUGGGAUUCUGGUGAGAGCAUGAGUUUCAGAGACUCUGACCAGUGUGGGUGAAUGCGGGUGCAGGACACCUGAAAUGUCUGUGCUGCAGUAGUUGCACCUCUGAAGGGAUGUGGCCUAAGGAUGAGGCCACACCAGAGAAGGCGCCCCUUGGAGUGUCACUGGCUGUGACCAGCGAGGUCAUGCCUGAACACCUCAAAGCACGUGGCCAUGGAUCAGUGCAUGACAGUAUUCACCAUCUGAAAGUACAGAAUGGCACAGCAGAUAAACAUGGAGACAGUAGUUUCCUACAUCAAGAAAGUGCGCAGAAUGUGAGAAUCUCCUCCUGAAGGCAGAUGCACUUUUAACAGUGUUGAAGAAGGUUUUGGAAGGGCUAUGAAGGUCAUUGGGAAUGGUGCACUCAGCCCCAACUCUGUAUUUUUAAGCCUCCCUAUGUGCUUAACAUUUGGGUUUAAAGCAAAUGUAGAUGACUUGUCACUUGGCACUGUAGCUACAUUGUUUUAAACAUUAUUGUAAUGGUAAAAAAUGAAAAAAAAAGGCGGAAUUUUAUACUGGUAUCCUUAUCUUGGGAAUUUGUAGUUGGAGAAUUACAGCUAAGGAUUACAAGCUCCCAAUAUGAAUGCAUAUUUGAGUGUAUGCUUAUAAUAUAUACCCACAGAGGAAUACACGGAAACAACAUCUAUUUUGGCAACCCUUGCACUUUUCAAAUUAGAUGCAGAAGAGUUAUUCUAAUUAUUUAAAGGUCUCUGAGCCUCAGCAAAUUGUAUUGACAGAGCUUUCGCUUUCAAUAAAAAACAGACCUGAAAUGCUUUUGCA
ensembl:lncRNA